AGCUCGGGGAUGACUUGUGGGUAGCGGUGAAAUUCCAAUCGAGCCCGGAGAUAGCUGGUUCUCCCCGAAAUAGCUUUAGGGCUAGCCUCAAGGUGAGAGAUACGGAGGUAGAGCACUGAAUGUCCUAGGGGGUAUUGCACCUACCGAAGACUAUCAAACUCCGAAUGCCGUCAUCUUAUACUUGGGAGUCAGACUGUGGGUGAUAAGAUUCAUAGUC
rnacentral:rRNA from 1 species